AGCGAACGCUGGCGGCAGGCCUAACACAUGCAAGUCGAGCGCCCAGCAAUGGGAGCGGCAGACGGGAGAGUAACACGUGGGGAACGUGCCUUUUGGUUCGGAAUAACUCAGGGGAAACUUGAGCUAAUACCGGAUAAGCCCUUACGGGGAAAGAUUUAUUGCCAAAAGAGCGGCCCGCGUCCGAUUAGCUAGUUGGUGAGGUAAUGGCUCACCCAAGGGCGACGAUCGGUAGCUGGUCNGAGAGGAUGACCAGCCUCAUUGGGACUGAGACACGGCCCCAAAACUCCUACGGGAGGGCAGCAGGUGGGGAAUAUUGGACAAUGGGCGCAAGCCUGAUCCAGCCAUGCCGCGUAGAGUGAUGAAGG
rnacentral:rRNA from 1 species